rnacentral:lncRNA from 1 species
AUGCUGGAAGAGCUGGAGGCAGACCCGCUGGCGCCCAGUUCCAGAGAACAGCCUCCACAUCGCCAAGAACCCGUGGAAAUCCACACAGACCUUUUCCUCAGUGGUUUGUUUGGCUGCUUCCACUUGUCGGGGUUCUUGUACAUACUGCAGAGAGUCGAGAAGAGCCAUGGCUGUCUGUGCCUCCGCUGUCAGACCCUGGUCAUCAACCAGGUGCCGUUCCGCUGCCACGUAGAGAUCCUGGGAAUGCUGGAGCUGGAGGCCAUCCGAGAGGUGAGGCUUUAUCACAGGAGUAGUUUCUGCUUCUGGUCGGACCUCACCCAGCUCUUCACCCACGUAGGGCAGAUGAGCAGUCUGGGCCACCUCGUCAUGAACGACAUCCCCUGGGAUUUCCCUGCAGACUGUUUCUCUUUGCUAAGUCUGCUGGGCCACCUUCAGAAGCUCCAUCUCAUCUUCGGCUAUCUCUCGGGCCAGCUACAGAAGAUGCUGAGUGGCCUGUGAAAAUCUCUGGAGACGCUGGUGAUCAAUGGAUGUAGGCUCACUGAGAAUGACAUCACCUACUUGUCCCAGAGCAUUCAUGCCACCCGCCUGAAGGAGUUGGUCCUCUGUGGCAAUAACCUGUGCCAAACGGUUCCUGGGUCCCUGGAGGUUCUACUGGGGGAGGUGUCCGGCACUCUGCAGUACCUGAACUUGAGAAGCUGCCGGCUGAAGGAGGCCCAGCUCCGAGCCCUGCUGCCUGCCCUGUGUUGCAGCUCCCGCCUCCGCUCUCUGGUGUUCAAUGACAAUGUCAUCUCCACCUCGGGCAUCAUGAGCAUGUUGUGGCACUUGGCAGGGCUGAUGGAGCUGAAGCGCGUGCAGUACCCUAUCCCUGCCGAGUGUGUUGUGUACUUGGAUGAAUACAGGUGGGGGUACCUCAACAGAGUGGAGCUCGCCUGUGUGCACGCCAAGUUGCGGGAAAUGUUGCAGGCGCUACAGGGGGCCAACGUGGAGUUGACGAAUCCGACCUCAGUGGCCUGACUUACGAAAAUGCACAGCUGACCUGAUGGGGAAGAGGGGCAGUGGUGGGUCCUGGAGCCAGGGCAGUGGAUUUCCCAACUGGAUGGUGUGGCUUUGAAGAAAACUAUGAAAACAAGAAAAAACACAACGAACGGUCUGGUGGGAACUGCUGUUUCUGGAUCCACCUGGGGCCCCAUUAUUCAUGACAUCGACAAGCACGGGUCAGAAAUAACACUGUGCAGGUGUUGUUCUAAUGCUGGAUAUAAAAAGAAAGCUUCUCCCAACACUUGUCCUUCUGGUCUGUUUACCCAAUUUCCCUUUCGUUUUGUUUCAGUAUUCCUGCUUUGAACAGCAC